UGUUGGAGAGCUCUGGCUCUGGCAGCGUGCGGUCCUGCCUCGUCAUGUGUGCAGUCACAUCGGAGCAGAUGGAGGAGCGAAAGGAAGAGGCAGAGACGAGAGAAGAGGGACAGUGUGGCAGCCUGCUAAAGAGGGAACUUGUUGGAGAGGACUGAAUGACACGCCGGGGCGUUUGUUCGUGGCUGAUUCUCUCAAGGUCUUGACCAGCAUUUAGUGGCUGUAUAUUUCCAGUGCAGACUGUUGUGAACCCCUCCCUGGCAGAAAGCUGCCAUUCUAAUCUGGAUGAUGGAGAAGUUGUGUGUCACCUUAAAGAAACUAUCACGAUAGAGCCAACAUUCAUCUCAGCCGGGACACAAACAAACUUCUCUGUUGUUCCAAAUACUCUACUCAGUCAGCGCUACGUGAUUUAGCCGUUUCUCUUCAUUUCAUGUAGAUUUUCUACUCUGUGUGUAUUUUACACGAGUUUCCCUAUUUGAAUUCUCAGAAGAGAAGAUGUCGGUAAGGUGCAGCGCCCCUCUUUUCUUUACGGACCUAAACCCCCCACGCUGAAGUUGAUGGACGUUGGAAGCUGCGGCUCAGUCCUCGUGAUGGAAUCUGAAGGAGGCACGAGAGGAUUGUCCACGGCCGCCAUGGUGGCCGUCGCCUGCAACACGUUUGUCGCCAUCCUGCUCCUCCUGCUCUGUCUGGUUGUGUACCGAGCCUGCAGGGUCCCUUCCAGCCCCGAGAGGCUGCCCGUGUUGGCGCCGAGCGAGGCCGAAAGCCAGCAGGCGAACGAGCACAAGUACCUGUUGACCUCCUGACUGCAGAGCGACGAGUCAAAACGUAGCGACGAGGGAUGGAUUUCUUGUGCCCCUCUACGGGAUUCGAGGCAGCACGGGAACUGACUGCAAAGACGAUCGAGGAUCGCCGUUAUCUGCUUUUUAAAGUCAGCCGUGGAGCUGCUGACAGACGAGGCUGAAUUGUUGUGGUGGGGUGGAAACUAUUUUUUAAGCAGCCGUCGCUUGUCAAAAUCAGCCCUCAGAAUGACAAAAGCUGCUGGAGGAUGAGACUAACAAACACAAGUGGCUUCAAGAGCUGCAACAGACACGGCCGCAAGGAUGGAUGCAGGUUAUAUAGAGGCAGACAGAAAGGACAGCUGUUGUUCAAAAUUUCUAAAUAUAACCUCUAACGUCAUCGGGUGGCUUCGAUAAACAAGCAAACAAAAUAAUCUAAUGCUGAGUGUUUCACUGUCGCGUAUUAAUAUCAGCAAAGCGUGAGGCCUAGCMCCUUGCAGCGAGCGUUUCAUGAGGACUGAAGAGGUUUAUCUGAAACGUGCCUCGUGUUUGAUGUGACACUCUCGCUGACAUGAGGCUGCUGGUGAUGGGCAGCUACUUCUGGAAUGAAUCACACACAGAGGAAAUAUUUCCUGCGAGACCCUAAGCUUCCUGCAUCUCAGCCACACGUUUCUGUAUUUGAUCAGUAACAUUGGUGACGCCACUUCAGACCAACAAGGCAUUACUUUAAYGACAGUAGCAGCAUUUAUGUAUAUAUAAAAACUACCAUCUUUUACACAUUGAUCUGAUGUUAGAGUUGCACUGGUUAAGGACACAAAAGUGCUUUAGGAAACAAUAUUACAGUGAAUGUAUUAUCUGUUAUUAAUGUAGCUACAAUAAUCCACAUAAGUGCAUAAUAAAAACAUGUCGGUGUGUGAGGAA